rnacentral:rRNA from 1 species
AUUGAACGCUGGCGGCAUGCUUUACACAUGCAAGUCGAACGGUAACAGGCCGCAAGGUGCUGACGAGUGGCGAACGGGUGAGUAAUGCAUCGGAACGUGCCCAGUCGUGGGGGAUAACUACUCGAAAGAGUAGCUAAUACCGCAUACGAUCUAUGGAUGAAAGCGGGGGACCGUAAGGCCUCGCGCGAUUGGAGCGGCCGAUGUCAGAUUAGGUAGUUGGUGGGGGAAAGGCUCACCAAGCCAACGAUCUGUAGCUGGUCUGAGAGGACGACCAGCCACACUGGGACUGAGACACGGCCCAGCCUCCUACGGGAGGCAGCAGUGGGGAAUUUUGGACAAUGGGCGCAAGCCUGAUCCAGCAAUGCCGCGUGCAGGAAGAAGGCCUUCGGGUUGUAAACUGCUUUUGUACGGAACGAAACGGCUCUGGUUAAUACCCGGGGCUAAUGACGGUACCGUAAGAAUAAGCACCGGCUAACUACGUG